GUGCUCGCUUUGGCAGCACAUCUACUAAAGUUGGAACGAUAUAGAGAUUAGCAUGGCCCCUGCACAAGGAUGACAUGCAAAUUUGUGAAGUGUUCCAUAUUAAA